CAGAAUCUGCUCCUCCCCACCUGAGCAGCUGCAGAUUUGGAUAGGAGAAAGGCAGGCAUGAGGGAGGAACUAUUUGGACUGGAAGAUAAGUGAGCAAUGCCGAACUGCACUUUGCCUAGUGCCUUUGCUAUUUUGCUUGAAUUUCCUAAACUCCAUUGAAGUUUGAAGCAGCAGCAAGAUGCCUGAAAGGAAGGAGAGAGGCAGAUGGAUGGCAGAUCUAAAACCACCUUUCCAUAGUAAACUACGAAACAGCACCACCUGGAGUUGAAACUUCUUGACUGCAGCAAGCAACAACUGAGAGAAAAGAAGAAAGCAUGACGACUGUUGCUACUGAAUGUAUUGUUCAGGUUCUUGCUCUGCAGCCAUUCUGAAAUGGAAAAGGUGCAGACUCUUCUGUUUCCUGCUGCUUGAUACUAACCAAUUCUGUGUAUUACAGAAGUUGUGUGUGCAACUGAAAUUUCCAGUCAGCCAGCCAGCUUUAAUAAGCCCUUCAGGAGGAACAAAGAAGGUAAUGUGAUCGUGUAGACCAAUAAAAGGGAUCACCUUUCUUAGUUUUAUCUCUUUCCUCCUCAGUGGCUAAAACAGUAAUCGCACUGAAGCAAGAGUUCUGUGGCUGACAUCUGUGUGUUCUUAAAAGCAUGGUUUCAUUUUCUUUAAAAAAACCAAACCAUGAUUGAGCAGAAUCAUUAAUCCAGAAUGGAGCACUGGACCAGUUCAUACAGGUAUUUGUUUACAGUAGUUCAAUUGCUACUCUGAUUGUGAAUACAGCAUCACAGAUCUAUCAAAUCCCUGUAAAUCUUUUCCAAUCCUAUAAGAGUAAAGGAUCAAACACUUCAAUUCUAAAUGUCUUUUUUUUGGGGGGGGGGGUUAACGAUCUUUGA